rnacentral:SRP_RNA from 1 species
GCUGGGUUCGGUAGCGCGAGCCUGUAACCCAAGUGGGAGCAUUAAGAUGGUGGAACAUUUGGCCUUACUUUAAAGGCUGGGCUUGGGGUGCAAUAUACUGGUCUGCCCAUUCCAAGUGGUGAGUCCGGCCGUGGAGUCUCUGUGAAGGCGGAGGCCUCUCGGCCCUUAGAUCGGAGGGCACCGCGUCAGGCUGGUUUCACAGAGCAGCGAUCACCUCCUCCUCUCUGCAGUGGAAGGAUAACAGGCCGCAGCACCUUCAGUCCGCUAGUGUCGAUGGGUUGUCCAAAUUGAACCACCAUCUUU